GAAAUGCGAUAAGUAAUGUGAAUUGCAGAAUUCAGUGAAUCAUCGAAUCUUUGAACGCACAUUGCGCCCGCCAGUAUUCUGGCGGGCAUGCCUGUCCGGGCGUCAUUUCAACCAUCAAGCCCCCGGGCUUGUGUUGGGGACCUGCGGCUGCCCGCAGGCCCUGAAAACCAGUGGCGGGCUCGCUGUCACACCGAGCGUAGUAGCAAUCACCUCGCUCAGGGCGUGCUGCGGGUUCCGGCCGUUAAACAGCCUUACAAAACCCAAGGUUGACCUCGGAUCAGGUAGGAAGACCCGCUGAACUUAAGC
rnacentral:misc_RNA from 1 species